UCACAUAGCAAGCCUUUCCGUUCAGAAACAUACACUGCAACACACCAUUCCAAACAACAAAAACACAAGUUAGGCCAUGGUCUCAAACAGGGGAAUGAAGGAGUGUAAGGAGUGGCAUGGAAGAUGGUAGCUUCAAGUGUUCCAUGGAAGAACUUGUGCUUUCUCCCCAUGGCUCUAGACUUCAAACAAUAUAAUGAGAUAUGUUGCAUUGUAGUUGAUAUUUAUUGUAGGAGAGGAGAGGACUGAUAACUUGGACUGCAAAUAAGAGGGCUGGCGGUUGGAAAAAAACUUUGAAAAACCUGCAUUUCUAGUCUUAGAGGCAACCUUCAAGUCUAGCAUUUAAGUUUUUCCUUAAAGUUGAAGUUUCUUAAACUCAAUCAACACUUUUCCUCGCCAAAAGAGUGAAAGCAUCACACAGUUUGAAUGUA